rnacentral:lncRNA from 1 species
ACCCCUUGGUUUAUUGCAACCGACCCCCAAGGGCAAACCCUUUUCGAUCAAAUUCUCCAGGUUACUUAGCGUUUACCUCUUGUUUAGAUGUUUGAUUGCUUUUGAUUUCCAUAGGUGCCAUGAAACUGAUGCCUUGGAGGUCCUGAGCAGUAUUCUCUGUGCCUCAGUUCCCUGUCUGUAAGAUGAGGGCACUCACAGGAGUGGUUUGAGGAGGAAAGUGUUCAUUGUGAUGAUGUCUGGAGAAACAACAAUGUUCUAUCAUCUGCAGACAUGCUACAUUGAUGUAGCAGCUCUGCUAGUGUGUGUCAGUGGUGUUUUAGUGGAAGACACAGUACAGGGGUCUUCAUCUUGCAGUCUUUCAGGAGCUUCUGGGCACAUUACUCUAGAUUUAGACCUCAAUUUAUCCCAAGAAGUAGAUGCCAAGGAAAUUCUUCCUGGUAGCUACUGAUAUUUGUGGCUUACUAGAGCCAAGGAGAAGUGAAGUGAGCUCUGCUAUUCCGUUUCUACCCAGUGAGGCUUUUCUUUUUCAUCGUGUUUGAGUUACAUUCCUUUCUGUGGCUAUACCAUGACACGUGCCAUUCUUCAAAGUCAGAGUCAUUCCCACCUGACUGCAUGCAAACCAAACCUAUGACAUCGUUCAGCGGUAAGUGCCUCCAUUAUCCCACUCCUUCCACUUACCAAUUUGCUUUUGAGACUCGUACACAAGCAAUUUUUUGACUUGAAGGCAAAUCCUCUGCAAUAACGCUGAAUCUGCAGAAUAGGCCACCUGGAAAAUAUUUGGUCUUCUGUUAGAAAACAUUUCCCUCUUCUAGGCUGGUGGGCUGUCUCGAAUCAUGCGACAAUGUAAAAUGCCUGGGUCAGAUUCUGAGUUGAUGAGGGAACGUUGUCCGGCCAGAGAGUAUCCUGGGGGUCAGGAAAACGAUGGUCUCGGGGAUCAGCAAUAUCACGGAGCCCGCUUAGCCCUGCAGAGGGUGAAUAGCUUUCCAUCUUCAUUCUGUCUGUUUUAUAGCUGCCACAGAAUAAGCAGUCUGAGAUUGAUCCUGACCCAGUAGGAUUAUAUGGAGGUCCUACAAGAGCAAUAUUUGCUCUUGAUGACCAUUGGAACAUACUAACUUAAAGAAUUUUAACAUCCUGCUAAAAGAAGGCCUUGUACACAGUAUUUUAGUAUUAUUUUUUUUUUUACACAUGAGGUCUCCCAGACCCUAAAAGCCAUCAGUAAAGUUCUAAGUACUUUCUAAUUUGUACCUGUCUUUCUUCUCUGAGGUUCAAAGAGCUACAGCACCACCUCAUCAUCCAUCUUGGACACAACUCCUUCAAGCAGAGUUGCCGACCUGUCUCAGCCAAAGGCUUUGCAGCUUUUAGCUGCUGAAUACUCAGAGAGAAAUGAACCAGACUUUUUAGCUGGACAACCUCAGAACUGGAAAUUACAGCAGGGCUCUGCUUCUUCC